rnacentral:rRNA from 1 species
UGCAGUCGAACGAUGAACCACUUCGGUGGGGAUUAGUGGCGAACGGGUGAGUAACACGUGGGCAAUCUGCCCUUCACUCUGGGACAAGCCCUGGAAACGGGGUCUAAUACCGGAUAGCACUCCUGCUCGCAUGGGCAGGGGUUGAAAGCUCCGGCGGUGAAGGAUGAGCCCGCGGCCUAUCAGCUUGUUGGUGAGGUAACGGCUCACCAAGGCGACGACGGGUAGCCGGCCUGAGAGGGCGACCGGCCACACUGGGACUGAGACACGGCCCAGACUCCUACGGGAGGCAGCAGUGGGGAAUAUUGCACAAUGGGCGAAAGCCUGAUGCAGCGACGCCGCGUGAGGGAUGACGGCCUUCGGGUUGUAAACCUCUUUCAGCAGGGAAGAAGCGCAAGUGACGGUACCUGCAGAAGAAGCGCCGGCUAACUACGUGCCAGCAGCCGCGGUAAUACGUAGGGCGCAAGCGUUGUCCGGAAUUAUUGGGCGUAAAGAGCUCGUAGGCGGCUUGUCACGUCGGGUGUGAAAGCCCGGGGCUUAACCCCGGGUCUGCAUUCGAUACGGGCUAGCUAGAGUGUGGUAGGGGAGAUCGGAAUUCCUGGUGUAGCGGUGAAAUGCGCAGAUAUCAGGAGGAACACCGGUGGCGAAGGCGGAUCUCUGGG